CUGAACAUUGAGCCUUGAUGUGUAGGAUAGGUGGGAGGCUUUGAAGCGUGGACGCCAGUCUGCGUGGAGCCGACCUUGAAAUACCACCCUUUAAUGUUUGAUGUUCUAACGUGGACCCGUAAUCCGGGUUGCGGACAGUGUCUGGUGGGUAGUUUGACUGGGGCGGUCUCCUCCUAAAGAGUAACGGAGGAGCACGAAGGUUGGCUAAUCCUGGUCGGACAUCAGGAGGUUAGUGCAAUGGCAUAAGCCAGCUUGACUGCGAGCGUGACGGCGCGAGCAGGUGCGAAAGCAGGUCAUAGUGAUCCGGUGGUUCUGAAUGGAAGGGCCAUCGCUCAACGGAUAAAAGGUACUCCGGGGAUAACAGGCUGAUACCGCCCAAGAGUUCAUAUCGACGGCGGUGUUUGGCACCUCGAUGUCGGCUCAUCACAUCCUGGGGCUGAAGUAGGUCCCAAGGGUAUGGCUGUUCGCCAUUUAAAGUGGUACGCGAGCUGGGUUUAGAACGUCGUGAGACAGUUCGGUCCCUAUCUGCCGUGGGCGCUGGAGAACUGAGGGGGGCUGCUCCUAGUACGAGAGGACCGGAGUGGACGCAUCACUGGUGUUCGGGUUGUCAUGCCAAUGGCACUGCCCGGUAGCUAAAUGCGGAAGAGAUAAGUGCUGAAAGCAUCUAAGCACGAAACUUGCCCCGAGAUGAGUUCUCCCUGAGACUUAGAGUCUCCUGAAGGAACGUUGAAGACGACGACGUUGAUAGGCCGGGUGUGUAAGCGCAGCGAUGCGUUGAGCUAACCGGUACUAAUGAACCGUGAGGCUUAACCUUAC
rnacentral:rRNA from 1 species